rnacentral:antisense_RNA from 1 species
AGCGCUGCUCCGGCUUCUGGCCCCUGGCGGGCUUCUUGUCCGCGCGCCGGGAGCCGGCCGCGCCCGGCGCUGCCUUCUUCGCUUUAUGCGCGGUGGGCGCCGGGGCGGUGGCGGCCGCCGGGGCUCCGCGCCGCUCCCCGCCGCCCUCCAGCUUCUUGCGAUUGAGCUUGAAGGAACCGUUGGCGCCGGUGCCCUUCACCUGCAGAAGCGUGUCGUUCUGCACGAGCGCCUUGAUCGAGUACUUGAGAUGGGGACAGCGCCGCCGAGCCGCCAGCCUUGGUCACCUUCUUGGCCAUCCCCUCGGCGGUCGUCACUGGCAGGGCCUCCUCAAGCUCCACGGACAUGGGAAAUGAUGGCGGGAACACAGCAAAGGAGACCAUGUUCUGGAGAGGGUCCCGGGCCCCAUCCUCCCCAGGGGGCUUGUGCAAGCCUGGCGGCCCGAUCUCUGCUGAUUCCAGUAUUGGGGGUGCAGAGGAGGCACAGGAUAGUUUUUGUUGAAGCCGGUGCAGCCUCCACUUGGGGAAGCUGAGGCCAGGGGCACAGGACAACCUUGAGAGCCUGAGGCCUCCGCCUCCUUGAAAAAGGACCAUGUGAAUUUCCUGACAGAGAACGGGGAAGGGUUUCUGAAAGCACCACCCAGCUGAGCCUGCGGAAACUGCACAGCUGUUUCCAGGCCAGGCUGGCUGCAUGGAGGACGUGAGAGGAGCAGCCAGCUGUGUGUGCUGGGCCCACUGAUCAGGGUGCUCAGGACCAGGAGCCCUCUGAGGAUGUGCAGAGGGGACUCUGGGGAGAGGAACGUGGCGGCCACAGCUGGAGUGACCGCGGUGUACAGAGAUGGGAUGGGAGCAGGAAACCCAAAAGAGCCGGCCCUGGAACCAGGUGGAGGGGAGGCAGCCCGGCCAUGACCCAGAGCGGG